rnacentral:lncRNA from 1 species
GUCCUGUUUCAUUUUUGGAAAAGAAUGGCAAGAGAAUUAUUGAGAUUAACAACAAAGCAGUUAGAAGGAUCUGCUUCUCAGGAAAGCAGAGGGUUCUUCCAGAAGAGGUUCCAUUUCCUGAACACGUGGGUACGGCCUUGACUUCCCCUCCAGUGUGAUCAGCUCAAUGUGAACGGUUUCCUCUCACUUGCCGUAGGCUGCCUCUGUUUGCUGUUCCAGUCCCCAGCCUCGUUUUCCUCAUCUGUAACAUGGACUGUAGCCAGAACUGUGGAGACCAGGGAAUUUGUAACAGAUGCAGCCCUCAGCGUACAAUAAUGGACUGUCCAGUGUGUGGCUUGCUCUUCUGCCUUCUCCUCAUUGUUACAGAGUCCAGAAACUUCUGAGGAGAGAACAACUCACCCUCACAUGGACUUAGUGAGUCACUGCAGUGCCUUUGUUUGUGAUUAGAUCUAAGUCAGCCAUCAUCGCAUAAAGGUAGGAAGACUUCGUGGUCCGUGUUGGGAAGCAGAAGCAGGAAAAGGACACGAGCCUGUUUGAGGAAGAAUCGAGACUUGAAGGUAGUAAGAUAUGAGUAGUAGCAAUUAGAGAGAGGUUAAGACGAUCUGCGGUGUAUCUGUGUCUGGCUACUGGUUUAAAAAGACAGAGAUUAGUAUUAAGAGAGAAGCUAAAAUAAAACAAACAAAUCACCCAUAUCUUUGCUCAGUGAUCUUCAUUAGAC